GACGAACGCUGGCGGCAUGCCUAACACAUGCAAGUCGAGGGGCAGCACAGAAACAGCAAUGUUUUGGUGGCGACCGGCGGACGGGUGCGUAACGCGUAUGCAACCUACCUUUAACAGGGGGAUAACGGAGAGAAAUUUCCACUAAUACCCCAUAACAUCGAUCAAGGCAUCUUGAUUGGUUGAAAACUCCGGUGGUUAAAGAUGGGCAUGCGUUGUAUUAGGUAGUUGGUGAGGUAAUGGCUCACCAAGCCUACGAUACAUAGGGGGACUGAGAGGUUAGCCCCCCACACUGGUACUGAGACACGGACCAGACUCCUACGGGAGGCAGCAGUGAGGAAUAUUGGUCAAUGGGGGCAACCCUGAACCAGCCAUGCCGCGUGCAGGAAGACGGCUCUAUGAGUUGUAAACUGCUUUUAAACAGGGAUAAAGCACAGUAUGUAUACUGUGUUGAAGGUACUGUAAGAAUAAGGAUCGGCUAACUCCGUGCCAGCAGCCGCCAGUAA
rnacentral:rRNA from 1 species